rnacentral:rRNA from 1 species
GACGUAGGGUGCGAGCGUUGUCCGGAUUUAUUGGGCGUAAAGAGCUCGUAGGCGGCUUGUCGCGUCGACCGUGAAAACUUGGGGCUCAACCCCAAGCCUGCGGUCGAUACGGGCAGGCUAGAGUUCGGUAGGGGAGACUGGAAUUCCUGGUGUAGCGGUGAAAUGCGCAGAUAUCAGGAGGAACACCGGUGGCGAAGGCGGCAUCCUGGACCGGUAUUGACGCUGAGGCGCGAAAGCUAGGGUAGCAAACGGG